rnacentral:rRNA from 1 species
AGAGUUUGAUCAUGGCUCAGGAUGAACGCUAGCGGCAGGCUUAACACAUGCAAGUCGAGGGGCAGCAGGGAUGUAGCAAUACAUUUGCUGGCGACCGGCGCACGGGUGUGUAACGCGUAUGCAACCUACCUUAUACAGGGAGAUAACCUUUCGAAAGAGAGACUAAAAUCCCAUAGUAUUAAUUAGAGGCAUCUUUAGUUAAUUAAAUCUUCGGAGGUAUAAGAUGGGCAUGCGUAGCAUUAGUUAGAUGGAGAGGUAACGGCUCACCAUGACUACGAUGCUUAGGGGUCCUGAGAGGGAAGUCCCCCACACUGGUACUGAGACACGGACCAGACUCCUACGGGAGGCAGCAGUGAGGAAUAUUGGUCAAUGGUCGGAAGACUGAACCAGCCAUGCCGCGUGCAGGAAGAAUGUCUUAUGGAUUGUAAACUGCUUUUGUAUGGGAGUAAUAAGGACUUUGCGAAGUUUGAUGCAAGUACCAUACGAAUAAGGAUCGGCUAACUCCGUGCCAGCCGCCGCGGUAAUAC